GACGUAGGGCGCGAGCGUUGUCCGGAUUUAUUGGGCGUAAAGAGCUCGUAGGCGGCUUGUCGCGUCGACUGUGAAAACCCGCGGCUCAACUGCGGGCUUGCAGUCGAUACGGGCAGGCUAGAGUUCGGUAGGGGAGACUGGAAUUCUUGGUGUAGCGGUGAAAUGCGUAGAUAUCAAGAGGAACACCUGCGGCGAAGGCGGGUUGCUGGGCCGACACUGACGCUGAGGCGCGAAAGCCAGGGGAGCGAACGGG
rnacentral:rRNA from 1 species